rnacentral:rRNA from 1 species
AACGAACGCUGGCGGCAGGCCUAACACAUGCAAGUCGAGCGCAUCUUCGGAUGAGCGGCGGACGGGUGAGUAACGCGUGGGAACGUGCCCUUCGGUGGGGAACAACAGUUGGAAACGACUGCUAAUGCCCCAUACGCCCUUUGGGGGAAAGAUUUAUCGCCGAGGGAUCGGCCCGCGUUGGAUUAGGUAGUUGGUGGGGUAACGGCCCACCAAGCCGACGAUCCAUAGCUGGUUUGAGAGGAUGACCAGCCACACUGGGACUGAGACACGGCCCAGACUCCUACGGGAGGCAGCAGUGGGGAAUCAUAGACAAUGGGCGCAAGCCUGAUCUUGCCAUGCCGCGUGGACGAUGAAGGCCUUAGGGUUGUAAAGUCCUUUCACCCGUGACGAUAAUGACGGUAGCGGGAGAAGAAGCCCCGGCUAACUCCGUGCCAGCAGCCGCGGUAAUACGGAGGGGGCUAGCGUUGUUCGGAAUUACUGGGCGUAAAGCGCGCGUAGGCGGGCAUUUAAGUCGGGGGUGAAAUCCCGGGGCUCAACCCCGGAACUGCCUUCGAUACUGGGUGCCUAGAGGUCGAGAGAGGUGAGUGGAAUGGCGAGUGUAGAGGUGAAAUUCGUAGAUAUUCGCCGGAACACCAGUGGCGAAGGCGGCUCACUGGCUCGAUACUGACGCUGAGGUGCGAAAGUGUGGGGAGCAAACAGGAUUAGAUACCCUGGUAGUCCACACCGUANACGAUGAAUGCCAGACGUCGGGCAGCAUGCUGUUCGGUGUCGCAGCUAACGCAUUAAGCAUUCCGCC